rnacentral:rRNA from 1 species
GGGAAUAUUUGCACAAUGGGCGCAAGCCUGAUGCACAACGCCGCGUGAGGGACGACGGCCUUCGGGUUGUAAACCUCUUUUAGCAGGGAAGAAGCGAAAGUGACGGUACCUGCAGAAAAAGCACCGGCUAACUACGUGCCAGCAGCCGCGGUAAUACGUAGGGUGCAAGCGUUGUCCGGAAUUAUUGGGCGUAAAGAGCUCGUAGGCGGUCUGUCACGUCUGCUGUGAAAACCCGAGGCUCAACCUCGGGCUUGCAGUGGGUACGGGCAGACUAGAGUGCGGUAGGGGAGAUUGGAAUUCCUGGGGGAGCGGUGGAAUGCGCAGAUAUCAGGAGGAACACCCGAUGGCGAAGGCAGAUUCUCUGGGCCGUAACUGGACGCUGAGAACGAAAGCAUGGGG